AUUCCUCGUGAUAGGCAUACAUAUUUAUUUUCUGCAACUAUGACCAAAAAGGUAUGUGUUGAAAGGAAAAAAUAUUUAAUGCAUGUCCUUCAUAUACCAUUUUCUAUUUCAAAUCAUUGGUUACCAUUGGUGGACAUGGAUUGACCUUAUAAGAAAAAAGACUUCACUUUUUCAAGCUUACUAAGAAUAUGAUCUUUAGUAUAGUGUGUUGGUGCAAUAUGAUCUAUAUAGCUGGCUUUAUACAGUUAAAAAAAGGGCUUAGGUUGGUAACUCUUAAUUCAUAUCUUUGCAAAAGCAGGAAGUAGUGCAUUGGUUGCAUUUCAUUGUUGUUACACUUUUAUGCACCUGAUUUUUUUAUUUGGAAUGGAAAUUACCUAUAUGAUCCACUUUGAUCAUGUGCAUAAGGAUGCUUUUGUUCUUUCGCCUUUUAUGUGGUCUCAUGUUGUAAUUCUCCCAUCAGAGAACGUAUGUUACUCCGUGUGUAUCCAUUUGCCAAAAAUAUAAUAUUUGUUAAGACAAUAGUUGUUAAGAUAUGCCACUUUUAUUAACUUGUGAAAAUGGACUACUCUUGGCGGCCCGAACAUGGUAUUGCCAGUGAAUAAUGGUCUUUUAUGAAAUCUGCUUUCAAAGUGAUAUCCUUCAAAUUCAAUGCAAUUGUAAUGUAGUCCUACUUUCCAAAUGUCAUGUUUCUUCCUUAUUGACAAGGAUAACAUUUACCCAUUAGUGCUCGUGAACAUAUUGUUGGCAAAUUACUGCAUGAAUAACAAAAAGGAAUCCUGUAAACUUCAAAGCCCCUAAUUAAUCCAGUUUUAACAAGUGAAGAGUGGAAAUACUUAAAAAAAAAAAAAAAAGGAAAAACAAACACCACACGAAACGCAGCGUUUUAUGUGAUUGAUAUAUUAUAUACAAAAACAGAUUCCCCUAUCGUGGGUUUUUAAUAUGUAGAUGUUUAGCGGCAAAACCCUAAAACAGAGUUUCUCGUUCUCAUAACGAUCAAAUACGAAAACCCUUGCUACUUUAACCCAUGCUCCCUAAAAGGCCAAAAGUGGAGAAAGAUUUGAAGUCGGGAGGCCAUGACAAGGUUAAUAGUGCUGCUGAAGCACUUGUUUCCAUACGCCAUGUUGGAUUAAACGGGGAGCAACUUCCUUCUUUGGAAGGGUUGAAAGUGGAGAUUAAUGUUCGGAUGGAAGCGAAAUGCGUGCAAGAACAAGUCACGUCCACAAGAAGCAAGAUUAGUUGUUCCUCCGCCAAUGCUUGAUCCGGGGAUUGAACAAGAAUCACAAGAAACAAGCUCACAAGAGACAAUGGAGAUUAAUGUUCGGAUGAAAGCCAAAUGCGAGCAAGAACAAGAGUCACGUCCACAAGAUGCAAGAUCAGUUGUUCCUCCUCCAAUACCUGAUUCGGGGAUUGAACAAGAAUCACAAGAAACAAGCUCACAAGAAUUGAGAUUAGUUGUUUCUCCAAUGCCCGAACAAGAAGCAAGGCCACUCAAAUGAAAUUUAUUUUCUGGUCUUCUAAGAAAAAGAUAUAUGCGCUUGCUACUCUGGAGUAUAAGAAGUUUUAUGGAGAUCAACAACUGAAAGAAGGCGAUGGAGUCAUUAUCUGGAUGUUUCGGCAUAAGCAGACUCACAAGCUUUGCUUAGCAAUCACAAUGUCUACAACGACACCCUCGAUCAGAAUAUAAGAAAGAAGGUUAGCAAGAAGAUGAGAACAGGAGUGAAGAAACCGAUAUUGAAUAGAAUUCCUUCUAAGAUCAAGGUACACUCAGAAUCUUUGCUUUGCAAUCACUUGGUAAAUGUCUACAACAACAAUCACAGUCAGAAUAGAAGAAAAAGGCUAGUAGUUUUUAUAAUGACAUAAAAUGAGAACAGGAGUUACUUUUCCAUACCUUUGAGUGUUUAUUUUUUAGUUUCUCUGUUUAUGAUUCUUUUAGGGAGAAAUUUUGUGUUCUGGUGCCAUAGAUAAAAAUUCUUUUUCAUUGUCAAUACUUUUGAUUUUUUUUCCUCAUUGUUUUUACUUUUUAAUAUACAUUUGAUUUUUUUGAGAGA